rnacentral:rRNA from 1 species
GUGGGGAAUUUUGCGCAAUGGGGGAAACCCUGACGCAGCAACGCCGCGUGAGUGAUGAAGGCCUUCGGGUCGUAAAGCUCUUUUAGUGGGGAAGAAUCCCACCCGGGCUAAUAUCCCGGGUGUCUGACGGUACCCACAGAAAAAGUUCCGGCUAACUACGUGCCAGCAGCCGCGGUAAUACGUAGGGAGCAAGCGUUGUUCGGAAUUAUUGGGCGUAAAGAGCGCGUAGGCGGUUCGGUAAGUCUGACGUGAAAUCCCGGAGCUUAACUCCGGAACUGCGUUGGAUACUGCCGAGCUUGAGUGUGGGAGAGGAGAGUGGAAUUCCCAGUGUAGAGGUGAAAUUCGUAGAUAUUGGGAGGAACACCCGUGGCGAAGGCGGCUCUCUGGACCACAACUGACGCUGAGGCGCGAAAGCUAGGGUAGCAAACGGGAUUAGAAACCCCUGUAGUCC